rnacentral:lncRNA from 1 species
UCCUGCCUCAGCCUCCCGAGUAGCUGGGACUACAGGCAUCCGCCACCAUGCCCCGCUAAUUUUUUGCAUCUUCAGUAGAGACGGGGUUUCACUGUGUUAGCCAGGAUGGUCUCCAUCCCCUGACCGCGUGAUCUGCCCGCCUUGGCCUCCCAAAGUGCUGGGAUCACGGGCAUGAGCCACCGCGCCCAGCCUUUUUUUUUUUUUUAAGACAGUUUUUGCUCUGUUGCCCCAGGUUGCAGUCCAGCAGUGAGAUCUAGCCUCACUUCAACCUCCGCCUCCAGGUUCAAGCGAUUUUCCUGCCUCAGCCUCCCGAGUAGUUGGGAUUACAGGCGCCCACCACCAUGCACAGCUAAUUUUUGUAUUUUUAGUAGAGACGACGUUUCGCCAUGUUGGCUAGGCUUGUCUCGAAAUCCUGACCUCAGGUGAUCCACCCAGCUCGGCCUCCCAAAGUACUGGAAUUACAGGCGCGAGCCACCGUGCCCAGCCCAGUCCUUGUAUUUUUAAGGUUUCAUUUGUGUAUUUUCUUUAGGAAAAUAUUUCAAUAAUUUAUCCCUGCAACUAGCUGAAGUUAUAAAAUUACUUCUGGAUUUGGGAAGAUUAUACCUGAGUAUGGCAAAGGAUUAGAAAUAAUAGCUAGCAGCUGGGUGCAGUGGCUCACGCCUGUAAUCCCAGCACCUUGGGAAGCCAAGGCGGGCAGAUCAGAAGGUCAAGAGACAUAGACCAUUUUGGCCAAAAUGGUGAAACCCCAUCUCUACUUAAAAAAUAAAAUUUUAAAAAAAAUUAGCUUGGUGUGGUGGUGCGUGCCUGUAAUCCUGGCUACUCAGGAGGCUGAGACAAGAGAAUCGCUUGAACUCGGGAGGCAGAGGUUGCAAUGAGCCAAGGUUGCGCCACUGCACUGUAGCCUGGAGACACAGCAAGACUCCGUCUUAAAUAAAUAAAUAAAUAAAUAAAUAAAUAAAUAAAUAAAUAAUAGCUAACUUUUUCUAUCUGCCAGGCACUGUGCUAAAUACUUUGCAUGAAGAUGAUAAUUUCGAAACUAAACACAGAAGAGCAAGUGUAAAAGAAGUAAUUUCUUUCUUUC